rnacentral:rRNA from 1 species
CAGAGUUAUACAACUCCCACACCAUUUGCCAACUUUACUCAGUUAUGCCUCGGCGUAAGCUCCGUACGGGGCUGCCGGGUUGCGCUGCGGGCGACAGCUACCCUGUAGCUUACCCUGUAGCUUACCCUGUAGCGUUACCCUGCGGCGGCCCGCCGGUGGAAACGAAACUCUUGUUUUAUUGUAUCUUCUGAGCGUCUUAUUUUAAUAAGUUAAAACUUUCAACAACGGAUCUCUUGGUUCUGGCAUCGAUGAAGAACGCAGCGAAAUGCGAUAAGUAAUGUGAAUUGCAGAAUUCAGUGAAUCAUCGAAUCUUUGAACGCACAUUGCGCCCAUCAGUAUUCUGGUGGGCAUGCCUGUUCGAGCGUCAUUUCAACCCUUAAGCCUAGCUUAGUGUUGGGAAUCGACCGUAGGGUCGUUCCUUAAAGACAGUGGCGGAGCGGCAGUGGUCCUCUGAGCGUAGUAAAUUUAUUUCUCGCUUUUGUCAGGCCCUGUCCUCCCGCCAUAAAACCCCCAAUUUUUUAGUG